GACGAACGCUGGCGGUGGGCUUAACACAUGCAAGUCGAACGGUGAAGCUCUAGGUUGCUGCACUGAAGGAGGGGCGGACGGGGAAGUAAGACGUGAGCAACGGGCCCCUCUUUUUGGUAGAAGCGCUGGAAAGGGCGUCUAAGACUGGAUACGAUACGGCCUCCCAGGGGCACCUUGUGGUAUUUGUUUCGGUCGGGGAUGGGUGCGCGGCCGAUCGGCUUGUUGGUGGGGUAAUGGCUCACCAAGGCGGCGACGGGUAGCCGGCCCGAGAGGGCGGACGGCGACACUGGGCCUGCGGCACGGACCAGACUCCAACGGGAGGCAGCGGUGGGGAAUCUUGCACAAUGGGCGCACGCCUGAUGAAGCGACGCCGCGUGAGGGAUGACGGCCUUCGGGUUGUAAAAAUCUUUCAGCAGGGACGACGCGAUAGUGACGGUACCUGAAGAAGAAGCACCGGCUAACUACGUG
rnacentral:rRNA from 1 species